AGUGUUUUUGUAAUUUAUUUAUUCAAUGUUUUCCCCCUCAUGAUUGUAUCUUUUAUUAGAUUUCUCAUUUAUCCCCCAAUUUCGGCAUUUUCAUGUAUAAUGCCAAUUAAUCAUGAAGAAAUUGAUCUAAAAUCCCUUAAAAUCAGGCAUAUUUACAUUAUUGAUGGUUCUCACAUCCAUAAAUGCCACCGUUUUGCUUCAUGUCGAUCUUUUAAUCUCGCCAAUCCCUUGUCUUUCUUCUUUAUUCUUAAACCAUAAUCAUCUUUUUUAUCUCUAUGAAUGGCUACGUUGGAAGAAAUAUUCUCCUCCCCUUCGUGUUUAUAAUGGACCCUGCUUUUAUUUACACUUUGUUUUGGUAUCGGCAACUCAUUGCUCGAUAGAGUUGGACGAUCAGGUUGGAGCGAAAAAAAAAAGGAAAGCUUUAGCUCGACAAAAUCAUCAGCAAAGAACGCAAGGUAUUGUGACAGAGUGAAACAUUAAUCAACCAUGAGAAAUAUGGUAUCAGAACGUAAUAUGGUGUAACAGCCCGGAUUCCCAGGUUUGAGGCAUAUUUAAAGGGCCUUAUGGCCGUCAUUUGCACUCAUCAGUUCCCAGAGUGAAACCCUAGAGCAAAUGAGUGAUUCAAGUGAGGGAAGGAGCCAUUAUUGAUCUUGGAGUUGUUGUCUAGCAAGGAAAGAGGAGAUCUAGCCAAGAGGAAGCAAGAGAGGGGUGGAUUCUUGAAGAUUUGAGGUCCAGAACAUCACAAAUGAGGAGGAUUAUAGCUCAGAGGAUCGAGCGCGAGUGAUUUCCGGGAUUUGCGAGUUAUGGAGAUACGCGAGGUUAUUACAGUAUCACGGGAAGGCACCGGCUCGAUUGUACACACCAGAGAAAGAGUCAUGCUUUGAGGAUCCUGGUUUAUCAUACAAGUGGAAAUGGAGUUAUGUUUUGUAAUUCGAUUAUGAAUGAGAUCUUAAACAAAGUGUUUUUAAGAAUUAAACGAUUAUUUUAAAUGAAAAAUUGUUUUGAAAUUUUCGGCGUUACAAGUUGGUAUUAGAGCCUUGGUUUGAGGGAUUCGGGUGCGCCUUCGGGUAAAUCUGGACUCAAACUGAGGAAGUAAGAAAAAUUUUCAACGAAAUAAUUUUCUAAAGCGAAUAAGAGUUCAAAGAGAAAGCGGGAAAGAGUAGUGUGUACAAUCAGCCAGAGCCCGAACGAUGAUUUCCCAAAAUACCCUUACUUUUGUGUCAUGAGAUAUUUAUGAUGCACUUUAUGAGAUAUUAUUGCAUGCUAGAGACAGGCUAGGUAUUUCAUAUCUUAGGACUAGAGUGGCCUGAUUUGUGAUGCCUUAGCCUAGGGAUUGCUGUUAUAUGCGAUGUGCUUUUGAGUAUGUGAUGAGUGAGAAUAUUUAGUUGGAAUCCUUUAGGGGAUUUGAGUAGAGGAGUAAUCUAGGGGAGAUACCUAGAUAAGUACCGUGGUACUUAGAGAAAGAAUAGUUAGAAUCCGCAAGGGGAAGAGUUGCAGAGUUCGGUGGUACUUUCGAGGAUGAGCAAAGCAAGCGGAGUUAUCACCCAGAGUGAGUCAUAUAUAUUCUUCGAUGCUCGAAUGCUGCUUGCUUCGUGCUUUGUGGAACUCUCGAUGAUGGGAGUCAGCUACCAAGUGAAUAUGACGAUAUUCAGGAAGUAGAUGGCUGGCAUCAUUAGGAGCUCUUCAGCAGCUGAUGGCAAAGAUGUGUGGGAAUCUAGGAAGAGCCUAGGGAGUAACCUUAGCCAGAUGAGUGUGCUGGCAGGGUAGAAAGUUUCGCUGGAGAGCGAGCGCGCGACGGAAUUGGUGAACGAGAAGGUCGAGCAAGUUGUCAUUGAUGAUGGGGUAGAAAAUUUCGCUGGGGUGCUGUUUAUGUUCGUGUGCGGAACAUGAGAGGCCUGAUGUUUAAGUUUCGGGUUUAGGGGUAAAACCCUGCAGGUUGUCAUUGAUGAUGGUUUUCCAUCAGAGUAUCAGGUAGCAUGUGUGCUGCGAGACAGUGAUUUACCAUGAUCAGAUAGUCAGAUGGGACUGAGAUAGUCGAGGACCACGUUACACCUAUUUGAGUAUAGUAAGGCGUAUUGUGGAGGUAUCAGUGGGGGAGUCCAGUCGAGUUAAUCAGUGCAGUGGUUUUCCUAUUUAUGUUGGGUAUUGAAUAUGGGAGUGGGUCCCUGUUCUUGGGAUGAUCCAUGUGUUGGAACGUCGGUUGAUGAGUCGAGGUGGGGGAAUAUGAUGAUUUCGUGGUCCAAUUUAUGACUCAGUGAUGUUAUUGGACAGUUGAGUUGCUUGGUAUUGGAUUGGUACGAGACUUGGAACGACUAGAGGCAGUCGUGACGAGAAGUUCUUGAGGAUUUCACCUGAGGUUCAGAGUUAUGAGAUCGAUUGAUUUCCUUAAAGGGGAUUACCGGGCGUUGCGUAGCACUUUCCAGGGGCAGGUGCGUUGUUGCUGGUGAAAAUAGUUCGUGAGGUUGUUGAUGUGUCAGAUAGUGAUGGUUUGAACCCUAAGUGGGGGAGAACCGGGUGGUUUAUUGAGAGACCCGGAGAUUUGUGCAAGAGCGGUUAGGGGUUGGAUGCAGAAACCUGCGGCUUGAAUUCAUGAGAUCAGGGUCAUUGGUGAUCAAGGAAAGGUGCAGGGCGAGAUAAUGCAUGUGGUAUAUGUCUGAGAGAAGGAUGGGUGUCUCCACGGCGGGUGGUCAAUGAUCAGGAAUAUCGUGGUGGUCAGAGUCGUCUCAAGUGGAAGGCUCGUAAUGAUGGUAUGGGCAGUUGAGAACUUCUGGGUUGAAAAAUGGGUAGAAGAUUGUCGAGUAGCCAACUCCCGGGCCGGGAUGUGUAUUCUUGCUUGGAUUUUGAGCAGUAGUUGAAAGGGUUUCGGAAGAUCAUCAGUGUGUUCUGAAGGGUUAGUGCCUUCCUUGUAUUCCAAUUGAGUGUUUGGAUGCACUGAAGUUGCGCAUCGAGUGAUAUAGGAAAUUGUUAUGGGAUUCAGAGGAAUUGUAUUGUUGUAUGUGUAUGGUGCUAGGAGUAAGGGAAUCAGUGGUAGAGACAGGACAUCGUGAUGCUCUGUUAGGGUGUUCUGUGGUUUCCGCGUAUAUCGUCCCGAUUCCAGAGUUAUUUAGAGUCUUGGGCUUAAGAUGACCAGUGAUGUAUCAUGUAUCCACGGUUCCAGUGGGAGCCCUUCGUGUAUUGUCAUCAAGAGGGAUUAUUUAAGGGAGUGGAUCUCCGCAGAGGGAGGUUCUGUGUUAUGGCGGUUGCCGCCAGAGUCUGUAAUGCAUAUCGGGGCAAGUGUGUGUGUAGCUAUCUAUGACAGUCUUCGGUGCAUGAGUUAGUGAACAUAGUGUGGCGUUGUAAUGAGAAUGAGAGUAUAGGGUGAAGACUAUGGGGAGCCGUAGUAUUCACCAGUCAGAGGUGUUGUGAUGUUAUGGGGAGCCGUAGUACUCACAAGUCAGAGAGAGAGAGAGUCGUGAUGCUACGGGGAGCCGUAGUAUUCACCAGUCAGAGGGUGUUGUGAUGCUACGGGGAGUCGUAGUAUUCACAAGUCAGAGGGAGGGAGUCGUGGUACUACGGGGAGCCAUAGUACUCACGAGUUAGUUGGCGUGGUGAUACUACGGGGAGCCGUAGUACUCACUAGUCAGAGGCUGUUGUAAUGUGUGGGAAGCCAUAGUACCCACUAGAUGGCAAGAGAGUGUGAUGAUGGAGUGUUCUCCGCUAAGUGCAUGAUGCAGAAGAGUUUUAGGCUUGAGUAGCCCUAGUGUCGAGUUUUUGGAGCCUGGUGGUUAAAACCGGGGCGAGACUGGGGUCUCCGUCUCUAUCGGGAGGGUCAGCGAGGCGCACGGGAGAAUAUGCGCAUCAGACGCCAGAGGUUAGAGCUGAGUCGAUCUUUGAUUGGAUUGUAUUUCUUCAUGAGGAAUAGGGAAUUUCGUGACUUGCGUGUCACUGGGCCGUGAUAGUGGUCACGGAGAGGAAGUUAGUGAGAUGUUUUGGAUAAUGUUAUGUGUGACCUUUGGGGAUUCAGCUGUGGGGCCAAAAGCUGACCUGGUGCUCGGUAUCGAAGAUGAAUAUGAGAAACGAGCUAGAGUUUACCAUAGUGAUGUUUGUGGACACUUCAGAGAGAGCUAGCGACUCAGACGCUCGAGGGUAUGUUUCGGGCAUGUGUAUUAGAUUUCGGGGGGAAAUUGUGGCCCGUAAUUGCCCUUGGCAGAGUUUUCCUACAACAACCGCCAUCAUUAGUGCAUCAGUAUGCCGCCCUUUGAGCUGUUGUAGGGAAGGGGGUAUUGGACCCCAUUUGCUGAGGAGAGGUAGAGCAACGUAUGAUGGGAAGUACAGAGAUUGUGCUUCAUACGUCAGAGCAGAUACAGCAGGUCAGGCAGAGGUUGUUGACCGCUCAGAGUCGCCAGAAGAGUUAUGCGGAUAGGCGCCGGUCCGAGCUCGAAUUUUUGGUCGUGACCUUGUACUCCUGAAGGUCUCUCCCUGGAAAGGAGUGAUUCGAUUCAGGAAGAGGGGCAAGUUGGGGCCCCGAUAUAUUGGUCCAUUCCGAGUGAUCGCGAGGGUAGGCUGGGUGGCCUAUCGUUUGGAUUUGCCAGCAGAGUUGGGGCAGAUUCGCGACACUUUUCAUGUGUCGCAACUGAGGAAAUGUAUAGCCGAUGAGUCGGCAAGUGGUUCCAUUAGAGGAUAUUCAGGUGGAUGCAAGCCUGAAUUAUGCUGAGAGACCAGUGGCAAUCAGAGAUCGGAAAAUCAAGGUUCUGAGGAAAAAGGAGAUACCCUGGGUUUUGGUUCAGUAGCGGCAUCGUAAGGGGUCCGAGAUGACUUGGGAGCCGGAGCGAGAGAUGCGCGAGCAGCAUCCGGAGUUAUUUGCAGAGCGAGACUUCGAGGGCGAAGUCUAGUUCUAGUGGGGGAGAAUUGUAACAGCCCGGAUUCCCAGGUAUUAGUUAUUCUUAUAAUUUUUGGUGAUUUGUGAGGGGACUCGGCGAGUUGGAGCUCAGACUCGUCGAGUAUGAUCGCGAUUUGGGCGCGGAUUCGCGUCCGGACUCGGCGAGUCCACGCUGUUUAAUGAAACCCUAAUUUCUCGGGUUUGAGGCAUAUUUAAAGGGCCUUAUGGCCGUCAUUUGCACUCAUCAGUCCCCAGAGUGAAACCCUAGAGCAAAUGAGUGAUUUAAGUGAGGGAAGGAGCCAUUAUUGAUCUUGGAGUUGUUGUCUAGCAAGGAAAGAAGAGAUCUAGCCAAGAGGAAGCAAGAGAGGGGUGGAUUCUUGAAGAUUUGAGGUCCAUAACAUCACAAAUGAGGUACAAUCUCGAAUCAUUCUCUGUUAUUGUGAUGUUCAUGUAGAUUUAGGGCUUUUGAACCCAUUUGUGGCUAGAUCUAGUGUCCUCAUGGUCCCUUAGCGAGUUAAGGUCCUGGAUCUGGACCCAUAGAGGUCCAGAGCACCUCUUUACCAAAGCUUUAUAUGCAUCCAUGGAGGUAUUGGCUUGGGAUCAAUGUAUUUGAGGCUAAAACACCAUUCAUGAGCUAUUCAAUGCUUGAUGAGCAUCAAGACUUGAGCUUUACGUGGUCAAUAAGCUUAAGGAGACUGGAUCUAUAAGUUAGUGAAGCGGAUCUGACCUUAGAAGGUCGUUUGGGGUUGUGCAUGGAAUGCACUCGCCGAGUCCAUUCCCAGACUCGGCGAGUUGGUGCGGGUUGUUCAGUGAUUACGAAACAGGGGUGGAGUAACCGAGUCGGGUGAGUGACUCGGUGAGUCGGAAGAGAUUCAGAGGGAUCGAGUUCCCGUAGGGACUCGGUGAGUCCACGCCAGACUCGGCGAGUCGGGUCAACCGUUGACCGUUGACCAGAGUUGACCAGUGUUGACUUGAUAGGGGUAGUCAACCUUAGUUGAGAAAGUGUUAAUUAGAGAUCUAUGGUGUUAUAGGAGGAUUAUAGCUCGGAGGAUCGAACGCGAGUGAUUUCCGGGAUUUGCGAGUUAUCGAGAUACGCGAGGUGAGUCUUCUCACUAUACGUUACCUUGAGUGGUAGUUAUGUGUGACCGGAAGGUCGUAUGUGCUUACAUUGAGUAUUAUGUUAUCCUAUUGUAUGUGACAUGCUAUGCAUUAUGUCUUUGUGAUUUAUGCUAUGCGGAGUUUACAGACCGGACCGGAGGGUCCAACGAUUCUUGAGGCCGGAAGGCUCAAGCAGACCGAACCGGAGGAUCCAACGAGCUUAGGACCAGAGGGUCCACAUAGUUAUGGGACUGGAGGGUCCCACUAAGACACAUUGACCAGAGGGUCGGAUAGAGUUAUAGCCUCGAGUGGCUAAUAUGUGUUGUAUGUUGUAUUUUGGGGAACUCACUAAGCUUCAUGCUUACAGUGUUUUGUGUUGUGUGUUUCAAGUUAUUACAGUAUCACGGGAAGGCACCGGCUCGAUUGUACACACCAGAGAAAGAGUCAUGUUUUGAGGAUCUUGGUUUAUCAUACAAGUGGAAAUGAAGUUAUGUUUUGUAAUUCGAUUAUGAAUGAGAUCUUAAACAAAGUGUUUUUAUGAAUUAAACGAUUAUUUUAAAUGAAAAUUUGUUUUGAAAUUUUCGGCGUUACAUAUGGUAUAUGUUACCUAUUGAUCCUCUAAUGUCACUUACUAUUUCUUCUUCCCCUGCAUCACCAUUCACCCCUACCAACCUUCCGUCGACGAUCUACCCUUCAUUUCUCCAUGUCUUAUCCCGCUCCCUCUCCACACAAGGUCUUCGGUGUUGCCAAUAUCAAGUCCCAUAUCCCAUUGAUUUUGGACCCCCAACACUACAAAUAUGAUUCUUUGAUAACUCUUUUUUCAACCCACUGUCGUGCAUAUAGUGCUCUCGGCCAUAUAGACUCCACUUAUGAUGUCCACAACAUUGCUCCCACCACCGCUGAAUGGAAGGAAGUCGAUGCAAUCGUGUAGAUGUGGAUUUUCAAAACCAUUGCUAAGCUCUUGCUUGAAUAUGUGCUAAAACCAGACAUUACAACACACCAAGUGUGUAUGGCUUUGGAGACAAGUUUCAGGACAACAAAUACUCAAGGUUAAUAUAAAUUGACAAUGAGUUGCGGAACAUCACAAAAGUGGAUCCUAAUGCUAAUGAAUAUUUCUUAAAAUUUGAAAAUCUAGCUACCUUAAUCACCAAUAUAGAUGUCAAAUCUAUUGUCAAAGAUAAACAAUUGGUCAUCUAAACAAUCAAUGGAUUAUCAACCCGAUUUGAGUCAUCGCAAUGAUAAUCCACCGCAAUAAACCAAUGCCCUCUUUCUUUGAUUUUCCAUCCAUGCUAUCUCUUCAAGAGUAUGGAUGCAUAUUUUUCUUACUAAUGUUUAAACAUCUUUUCGUAGA